rnacentral:rRNA from 1 species
GACGAACGCUGGCGGCGUGCCUAAUACAUGCAAGUCGAACGAACCGCGACUGAGUGCUUGCACUUGGUCAAGGUGAGUGGCGAACGGGUGAGUAACACGUGGGUAACCUACCUCAUAGUGGGGGAUAACAGUCGGAAACGACUGCUAAUACCGCAUAGGACAUGGAAUCACAUGAUUCUGUGAGGAAAGGUGGCGCAAGCUAUCGCUAAGAGAUGGACCCGAGGUGCAUUAGCUAGUUGGUAGGGUAAGGGCCUACCAAGGCGAUGAUGCAUAGCCGACCUGAGAGGGUGAUCGGCCACAUUGGGACUGAGACACGGCCCAAACUCCUACGGGAGGCAGCAGUAGGGAAUCUUCCGCAAUGGACGCAAGUCUGACGGAGCAACGCCGCGUGAGUGAAGAAGGUCUUCGGAUCGUAAAGCUCUGUUGUUAGAGAAGAACAGCGCAUAGAGUAACUGUUAUGCGUGUGACGGUAUCUAACCAGAAAGCCACGGCUAACUACGUG